rnacentral:rRNA from 1 species
AGCGAACGCUGGCGGCAGGCCUAACACAUGCAAGUCGAACGAACCCUUCGGGGUUAGUGGCGGACGGGUGAGUAACACGUGGGAACGUGCCUUUAGGUUCGGAAUAACUCAGGGAAACUUGUGCUAAUACCGAAUGUGCCCCUCAGGGGAAAGAUUUAUCGCCUUUAGAGCGGCCCGCGUCUGAUUAGCUAGUUGGUGAGGUAAUGGCUCACCAAGGAUACGAUCAGUAGCUGGUCUGAGAGGAUGACCAGCCACAUUGGGACUGAGACACGGCCCAAACUCCAACGGGAGGCAGCAGUGGGGAAUCUUGCGCAAUGGGCGAAAGCCUGACGCAGCCAUGCCGCGUGGAUGAUGAAGGUCUUAGGAUUGUAAAAUCCUUUCACCGGUGAAGAUAAUGACUGUAGCCGGAGAAGAAGCCCCGGCUAACUUCGUGCCAGCAGCCGCCGUAACAC